GAACGCUGGCGGCGUGCUUAACACAUUCAAGUCGAACGGGACUCAUUUGAUUAAUCCUUCGGGAAACUGGAAUCUUUAACUUAGUGGCGGACGGGUGAGUAACGCGUGAGCAAUCUGCCUUUCAGAGGGGGAUAACAGUCGGAAACGACUGCUAAUACCGCAUAACGCAUUGAAUUCGCAUGUUUUUAAUGCCAAAGAUUUUAUCGCUGAAAGAUGAGCUCGCGUCUGAUUAGCUAGUUGGUGAGGUAACGGCCCACCAAGGCGACGAUCAGUAGCCGGUCUGAGAGGAUGAACGGCCACAUUGGGACUGAGACACGGCCCAGACUCCUACGGGAGGCAGCAGUGGGGAAUCUUCCGCAAUGGACGAAAGUCUGACGGAGCAACGCCGCGUGAACGAUGACGGCCUUCGGGUUGUAAAGUUCUGUUAUACGGGACGAAUGGCGUAGCGGUCAAUACCCGUUACGAGUGACGGUACCGUAAGAGAAAGCCACGGCUAACUACGUG
rnacentral:rRNA from 1 species